rnacentral:tRNA from 1 species
GCCGGAAUAGCUCANUUGGUAGA